UUGAGCGGGAAAAUUGUGCACUUAACCACAUUUAAUGCUAAUUUUGAAUUUCAAAUUCAUCUUACUGAAAGCUAGCGCCCUAAACCAUGCUUCAAAUUUCAAAAUCAUUCUAUCUCAUUGUAAAUUGUAAAUGCCAACAAUUAAUGUCAUCUAUUUUCAAUACUGGGUAUAGCAAGCAUUCAUUGGGAACCAUGACUGACCUAACCCUCCUCUCUCUACCUACGGUUCGUCAUCUACCCCCCUUUUCUCCCACAACUGCCACCGUUCACUCCCGCCGCUAUAACUAUAGUGUAACUUCGUCGUAUCACCACCAUCACCCGUGGUAGCACCAGCUUUGGCCAUUUCCUCACCCUUCCAUUUCAUUCAACACCAAAUUCCGACCCUCUCUGCAAUUGAUUUCAAACCCCAAAUCACCUUCCACCUCACCAUCGUUGGAGACCCAUGUUCAUGGCUGCUUCUUCUCUCUUUCUCCACCAAAGCCUCCCUCUUGAUCUCCGAUCUCUUUCUUCAAUCUACCAAACUCGGUUAGCUCUCUCUCUCUCUCUCUCUCUCUCUCUCUCUCUCUCUCUCUCUCUCUCUCACUGUUAUGUCUGUUUUAUUUUUGAUUUAUCCUCUGUCUUCAAUCUUAUGCAAUUAAUCUUUGUUAUUCAAGAACACUUAUAUGAACAUUGAAACCCCAAUAGGUCCCUUUCGGUUUAACCUACUUUUGUCUAACUAUAAUUGAUUGGAAUUGUAUAUAGUGUGUAUCUGUCAUUUCUUGAAGAUAAUUUAGUUCAUUUUACUCUUUUCUAUCUCUUCUUUUCAUUAGCCCCCUCCUUUUUACUUCUGGCCACUUUUUUCCUUUCGACUAUUCCUUAACUUCAGGUAGUUUUCUUUUUAAUUUUUUGAACCGUUUGGUUUCUGGAAUUUGUUGAUCUAACAAUGUGGUUUUAUAAAGUUUGUUCCUUUAACUUUAUAUAAUACUUUAGGGUGCUGAAAAACGUGUCAUUUGUUUAAUAAUGUGAGGUCUGUUUUAUGAUCAUUAUUACUGGAUAUGGAUAAGAAAACGAUAUUAAGUAUAUGUUUGGUUCCACAUUUGGAGAAAGCAAAAUUGAUAUUGAUUUCGACAAGUAGAAUUGAUUUUGCAUCCGGAAUGGAUUCUAACUUUUUUUAACAAUAGAAUUAUUCUAACAUGAAGCUAUAAUUUAGAGUGUUGCCUCUACAAUUGAUUUUUAUCCUUGAAUUUAUUGUUCAAGCCACUAUUACAUGAAUAUAUUCAAACAUACUCUUUACAUUUAACUCUUUUUUGGCCGGAAUCAAUUUAAUCAAAAUUAAUUUUAGACAUUUAAGUAUUGAUUUGUUGAAUGGUCUUUUGUUUAGACAUUUAAGUAUUGAUUUGCUGAAAUUUCUUCUGAUGGAGCUUUUGCAAAAGGUGCAUUUUUUUCUUCUGAUGGAAGCUAACAGAAGUUCAUGAAUAAAUUUAACUUUUCAAUCCACAACUCAGCUUAUCAUGAAUUACAUUUGAUUUUUGUUUGAUUCUUAUACAUACCUACACCAUGCUGAAAAUUUUCUGCAUUUUAUAACAUAAUCAUGCAGAAUAUCUAAACUGCAGGUCUCUAUUUAAGUAGUACAUUUAAGUGUUUAAAUUCUAAAUCAAUGCAAAACACGUUUCUUUGAAAUUAUUAAAAGGGAAAACAAUUAGAACCAUUAGACUUCACUGUCAUGCCUUUUUCAUAAAGUAGAUUCACCAAAAUUUUAAAAAUUGCUACGGAUGAAGGAGAUUCAUCAAGUCGGUUCACACUAUUUCAAUCCUUGACAGCAACUCCAACCCGAUACGUUUUCUCUUUGGUAAAAUGCUUGGAUUGGAGGUAAUUCCUCAUGCUGCUCAUUCUUUGACUAAUUCCAGGAUGUUGCUCAUUCUUUCACUAAUCCUUCAUAUCUCCCUCAAUUUUUGCAACAUAACAAUUGGAGCAUAUUACUGUCAGUAAAACUCUUACAACAGAGUUUGAGAGGUUUUUCUGUUUCAAAUGUUGUUAUUUGAUAUGUUGUGCCCUCCAACCUUUGAUAAUUUUAGGCUAAAUCUACAUAAUCUCUGAUUUAUUGCACUUCUAUCAUUUUUCUUUAUGUUUUAUUUAUUCUGUUGUUCCUGUAUUUGUAAGGCUCCAACAAUAUUUCAUGUGUUGUUAAAAUAAGGUGAGGUUUUGGCGAUGGUGAUGACCUCUUUGACAUCCUUUCUAUGAAUUGAAUUGAAUUUUGAGUCGCAUCAUUUUCCACCUCAUUUUCAACUCCAAUUCAAUUCGUAGGUUGUAUUUCCGUUUCUUUAUAUGUAUUCACCAAUGGCGGCUACUGUUUACGUUUUCUUCAUUUUCCACUCAUAACAUCUAUUUUUUUCCCAAUUUGUAAGGGCAUAAGAGUUUCUAUUGCACUGAAUUAUCGAUGCAAGACGGCGACAUUGCUCAACUAGAUUUGUGCUGGUUCGUGUUGGAGACUAACGCUGGCAUGAAGUGGAUAAAAUUGAUAUUGCCAUGCACUUUUGUUGUAAAAGAUGCAGAAGGGAAUGCUGCAAUCAAGAAAGGCUUGGUGAUUAUGUUAUAGGAUGGAGAGGCCUAAGGUGAACAAUGGUUGUUUAAUUUUUUGCACUAAUGGUAUAAGUUAUUUUUGUCGUGAUGGUGCCCACCAUGAGGCACAAGGUUCAUGGAGGAAUUUGUCCAUUCUAUGAUAUUACCAAUGGUAACCUAUGUAUAUUAAGAUAGUACCUCCAAAUAUUGCUAAUGGAUGAAGAUGGUAAUUACAUCGAUACAACAACCAUAGCUAUAGCUUAUACCAUUAGUGCAAUAUUAAUAUUGCUCAUAUUUAUAUUAAGAUAGUUAUUUUAAUUACAUAGGUAUAGGCCAUCCUAUAUUGGACGAGCAUGCAACCUCAUAUGCUAACGAGAAUUCGUAUAGACGUAUGUGCAACGAUGAAAUGAAGGAACCUUAUGUUCGUGAAUCAGUUUUGGGUA